GUGCUCCGUGGUGAACUUGCUGAAAUCCACUUUUCUGUUCCCAGACAGACUUUCAUCUUUGUUAAUUCUGUGUUUGUCUCCUUUGUCCAUGUGAUCACAGUUAUCAGCUACCAUUCAGUCAUGUGACACCAGUCUGGGUCAACACACACACUGAUCAAUGUGUGUGUGUGUGUGUGUGUGUUUUCACAUCGACCACUGACUUGUUCCACUGGUUUGAUCUAAAUUUGAGUAAAUGAGCUGGAAACGGAGUAAAAAGAAGGCGUUUGUUUUGUUCACCUUCAGGUCUAUGGUGGGGAGUGAGUUUAGGAGGAAACACCUGGAAAACACAGGGGGUUGAACGGGUGAUGGAAGACAGAGAAGGGAACUGGACGUUCUUCAGUGGAACUGGAUGGAGGUUCCGUUAGGAUCCAGAGAAGAAGCAGCGAAGGCAGCCGUCCUCUGAGGUGACUGUGGCUGCAGCCAGGCUCAGAGAUGACGAUGUCAGGGAUGGAAUUAGUCCACGUUUUCUCACUGGAAGAGGAAUUAAUUGCCCAAGACUGGGUUAAGGAGCCACUUGGCCCCGAGUGGUGGAAUGGCUAUUGUCAUGGCUUGAAAACGUUUCACCUAAUUGGAACGUCACAAUGGAAUAUGGAUGAUCUGGCCCCUGCGUGUGUGUCAGACGGAGUGGGCCGCGGCGUCCAUACUUGGUGGAGAAUCCAUCAAAGCUUAUCAUUAUAAGUAAACAUGACAGAGUGGACAAAAUGUCUUCUGCGCCGCCAGAGCUGCUAUCUCACCGCGGGCCGUAUCUGUGAUGAUGGACUGAUGUGGCGCUGGCUCUGACUGACCAGAGUCUGAGAGUGUGACUUUUCCGAGCCGAAUCCAUGCAUGUGCGAGUGCGUGCCACCCCACCCCCUCCUCACCCCCCCUCCCGCCGACUUGUUACAACACCAGAGAUAAGCAGAGUAAACAACAGUGCACUGUUUGCUGCAGUCAUGUGAUUAAAAAACACACUAACGAGUGCUGCAGGAAGGUGGGUUUCUGUGAGCGUCCGUCUCCCCUGUCCACCGUCUGCCCCUUCCUCACAGAGUGGCUCCAGCGCGGUCUGGACCUUCCACUUUAAACGCAAAAAAACUGCCACGGUGAUAACCCUUCUUCUGCUGUUCCAGUUCCUAGGUGAAAGGUCACGGCUGCGGUGCGUCGGCCAGCGUGGCAGGUUGACAGCGUGCGUAGUGGCGCUGCUGGAAAGCCGUCUCCGUCACUUUCUUUCCCUGCUUUUUCUUUCUCUCUUUCUUUCAGCCGCACGUGGACACGGAGCGAGUGUGUGAGAGUGUGAGAGUGUGUGUGUGUGUGUGUGUGAGUGUGUGUGAGGGGGUUGUUAACCUCCUGGUGGUCUCCAAGUCAGUCUAGGAGAGACCACCGUGAAGAUUGUAAAUGUCUCCAUCAAAUCUACCUCAUUAGUGUGUGAUGCAUCCAUCUCUGGGCCCCCCCCCCCCCCCCCCCCCCCCCCCCCCCACACACACACACACACACACACACACACCUCAGCUAAUUUUUGCUUUGACAACAGCAGAAAAGAACCAUCUCUAAAUAUAAAAUCACCUUCUCUCUGUGACAGAAGGCGUCAGUUUUCUGAAACAUUCCCAACACAAAAAAUACAUUUCAUGAAUUUAAGCAUCUACUUUGAACAGCGUUCACUUAAAACAGUCAGAAAGACAGACUUUUUGCACUUUCCUUAAAUUUUAGUCUGAACUUUUAUCAAUCCAUUUACUGAUCCAAACAUCCAUGUUUAUGUCAAAGCGUAUCUCAGUUGUUUAGAAACACUUAAGACAAUGUUGGAAAAAUAAUCUUGUUGAGUUGACAUUAACAUCAAGAAUGAGUAGACAAUACCAAUGUCACAGAAAAUAAACAAAACAAAGAAAAAAACAAAGCAAAUAACAUUUACCACUGCAGUGUCACCUUUAUCUUUAUCUCUUUCAGUGACCUUUUCAAUGGCAGCCGAUCGUCUUCUCGCCGCGUCGACCUCUAACAGACGGGUCAGAGCUGCGCCUUUAAAUCACGAUGGUAAUUCAUUUAAUUCUCUAACUGUUUGCUUAAUUAUUUGAGCGUUGCACAUCACACAGCACAUCCCUGCCGUCCUCUCAUUACAGCUCUGGUGUGUUAUGAUAGAAUAUAAAACCCAAAGUUCCAGUUAUCAGUUAUCAUCAUUUGUCUGACACAUCCUUCCACGUUUGUUUAGGUUCCGCGGCUUCUCGCUGCCACGGUGUACUUAAGGUUAUCGUGGCAGUAGUCUAAGCUAGAAGUGUGUGACGUCAGAGCAAAAUUAUUUUAAAUCUUUUCAAGGCCUGUGCCGGGGAUCAGAGAGAGAUAAAGUGCUCUUGUUGUCACAGACAAAACACUGAACAAUAUGAACGAUAUUUUCACUGCAGCGAUGAGAGGUUGGAUGAAAUGUUACACUUUUUAUUGACAGCACUUUCUAAAAAUGCACCUGAGCAUUUUUGGUGAGUUAUUUGUAGCGACAAACCAUAGCCUUGUUUGUUUUCUUAGCAAUAUAUAUUUAAACUGAUUUAUUUUAAAUUAUAUUUCUAGUGAUGUUUGUUGUUUUAGUGCAGUUGUAAAAAGAGAGAAGAAUUCAUAUUUAAAUACCUGGAUCUUUAAAGACAAGACAGUGCUUUCUAAAACUGCAGAGAGUUUCCUCUUUUGGUUUUCAGAAUUUCUAUAGUUUUUUUAUAGUUUAAAAACUAUAGUUUUUGUACUGUGACAUUGCACAUGUCUAUAUAUAUUUUUUUAAAGCCAUCAUAAGAAUGUUCUAAAAAUUCUCCAUCGUUCUUCUAGUCAUCUAGCAUGCAAACGACUACAAUGACAAUUAUUCCAAGUUACAUGUAGGUUUUGAACCCCCCCCCCACACACACACA